CCCUUGGUAGUCUAGUUGGUUAUGGCGUUCGGCUGUAAUUGUAGAGAUUGUAUACCGAAAAGUCACCGGUUCGAUUCCGGUCCGAGGGA
rnacentral:tRNA from 1 species